UCAAGCUAAUAAGAGCACAGGGUGGAUGCCCAGGCACCAAACGCCGACGAAAGACGUGGCAAGCUGCGAAAAGUCACGGGGAACCGCAAGCAGGUAUUGAUCCGUGAACGUCUGAAUGGGGAAACCCGGCGGGUUAACAGCCCGUCACUAUUAACUGAAUCAAUAGGUUAAUAGGGGGAACGCGGGGAACUGAAACAUCUCAGUACCCGUAGGAAGAGAAAAUAAAGAAUGAUUUCCUAAGUAGCGGCGAGCGAACGGGAAAGAGGCCAAACCGAAGGGCUUGCUCUUCGGGGUUGUGGAUCAGCAAAAAGGACGGAAGACCUUAGCAGAAGAGGAUUGGAAAGUCCCGCCAGAGAGGGUAAAAGCCCCUUACGCGAAAAGGUCAAACGACGAGCUGACACCAGAGUACCGCAGGACACGAGAAAUCCGGUGGGAAGCCGGGAGGACCACCUCCCAAGCCUAAAUACGAAUUGGUGACCGAUAGCGCAUAGUACCGUGAGGGAAAGGUGAAAAGAACCCCGGGAGGGGAGUGAAAAAGAACCUGAAACCCUGUGUUUACAAGCAGUGAAAGUGCGAGCAAGGCACGAUCACGUACUUUUUGUAGAACGGACCGGCGAGUUACGUUAUGCAGCAAGGUUAAGAACUGAAGGUUCGGAGCCGAAGCGAAAGCGAGUCUGAAUAGGGCGAAAGUUGCAUGACGUAGACCCGAAACCGGGUGACCUAUCCAUGAGCAGGUUGAAGUGGAGGUAAAGCUCCAUGGAGGACCGAACCAGACGUCUGUUGAAAAAGGCGGGGAUGACUUGUGGAUAGGGGAGAAAUUCCAAUCGAACCCGGAGAUAGCUGGUUCUCCUCGAAAUAGCUUUAGGGCUAGCCUCAUGGAUCAUUGGUGGGGGUAGAGCACUGAAUGUGCGCGGGGGCCACAAAGCCUACCAAACGCUAUCAAACUUCGAAUACCAUACAAUGCAGACCAUGGGAGUCAGUCCGCGAGAGAUAAGUUCCGCGGGCAAAAGGGGAACACCCCAGAUCAACCGCUAAGGUCCCCAAGUUCACGUUAAGUGGAGAAGGAUGUGGAAUUGCACAGACAACCAGGAUGUUGGCUCAGAAGCAGCCACACAUUUAAAGAGUGCGUAAUAGCUCACUGGUCGAGUGAUUGUGCGCCGAAGAUGUCCGGGGCUAAACGUGACACCGAAGCGAUGGGUGCAUCUGAGAAGAUGCGCGGUAGAGGAGCAAUGUGCAGAGGCAGAAGCCGUAUCGAGAGGCACGGUGGACACUGCACAAGAGAGAAUGCCGGUAUGAGUAGCGAGAGGCAUGCGAGAAACAUGCCCGUCGAAAGCCCAAGGUUUCCUGGGGAAGGUUCAUCCGCCCAGGGUAAGUCGGGGCCUAAGCCGAGGACGGAAGUCGUAGGCGAUGGACAGCAGGUGUAGAUUCCUGCACUACCGAUGGAAUGAAGCAGUGACACAGAAGGAUAACUCGAGCAGGGUGAUGGUCAACCCUGUGCAAGCAUCAAGGUUGGGUUGUAGUGAAGUACGCAAUCCUAUAAGCUGAGGUGUGAUGCGGACCGAAAUUUCAGUAGGGAAGCGAGUGAGUUCACGCUGGCGAGAAAAGCUGCUAGUACAUCCAAAGGUACCCGUACCGGAAACCGACGCAGGUGGGCGAGGAGAGAAUCCUGAGACGAACGGGAGAACCCUUGUUAAGGAACUCGGCAAAAUGACCCCGUAACUUCGGGAUAAGGGGUGCCUGCGAGAGCAGGCCGCAGAGAAUAGUCACAAGCGACUGUUUAGCAAAAACACAGGUAUCUGCGAAAGCGAGAGCUGACGUAUAGGUGCUGACACCUGCCCGGUGCUGGAAGGUUAAGGGAACAUGUUAGAGCAAUCGAAGCAUCGAACCGAAGCCCCAGUAAACGGCGGCCGUAACUAUAACGGUCCUAAGGUAGCGAAAUUCCUUGUC
rnacentral:rRNA from 1 species